AGAGUUUGAUCAUGGCUCAGAACGAACGUUAGCGGCGCGCCUAACACAUGCAAGUCGCACGAGAAAGGGCUUCGGCCCCGGUAAAGUGGCGCACGGGUGAGUAACACGUGGGUAACCUGCCCUCGAGCGGGGGAUAACAUUCCGAAAGGAGUGCUAAUACCGCAUAAGACCACGACCUCGAAAGAGGUUGAGGUAAAAGCUGGCCUCUAUACAUAAGCUAGCACUUGAGGAUGGGCCCGCGGCGCAUCAGGUAGUUGGUGAGGUAACGGCUCACCAAGCCGAAGACGCGUAGCUGGUCUGAGAGGAUGAUCAGCCACACUGGAACUGAGACACGGUCCAGACUCCUACGGGAGGCAGCAGUGGGGAAUCUUGCGCAAUGGGCGAAAGCCUGACGCAGCGACGCCGCGUGAGUGAUGAAGGCCUUCGGGUUGUAAAGCUCUGUGGGGAGAGAAGAAUUAGUGCAGCCUAAUACGCUGCAUGAUGACGGUAUCUCCUUAGCAAGCACCGGCUAACUCUGUGCCAGCAGCCGCGGUAAGACAGAGGGUGCAAACGUUGUUCGGAAUUACUGGGCGUAAAGCGUGUGUAGGCGGUCUCAUAAGUCGGAUGUGAAAGCCCCGGGCUCAACCCGGGAAGUGCAUUCGAAACUGCGAGGCUAGAGUAUCGGAGAGGUUGGUGGAAUUCUCGGUGUAGAGGUGAAAUUCGUAGAUAUCGAGAGGAACACCGGUGGCGAAAGCGGCCAACUGGACGAAUACUGACGCUGAGACACGAAAGCGUGGGGAGCAAACAGGAUUGGAUACCCUGGUAGUCCACGCCGUAAACGAUGGGUGCUAGGUGUCGCGGGCUUUGACUCCCGCGUGCCGUAGCUAACGCAUUAAGCACCCCGCCUGGGAAGUACGGCCGCAAGGCUAAAACUCAAAGGAAUGAC
rnacentral:rRNA from 1 species